rnacentral:rRNA from 1 species
UAAACGACUCUCGGCAACGGAUAUCUCGGCUCACGCAUCGAUGAAGAACGUAGCAAAUUGCGAUACUUGGUGUGAAUUGCAGAAUCCCGUGAACCAUCGAGUUUUUGAACGCAAGUUGCGCCCGAAGCCAUUCGGUUGAGGGCACGUCUGCCUGGGCGUCACGC